rnacentral:rRNA from 1 species
UACGGGGGGGGCAAGCGUUGUUCGGAAUUACUGGGCGUAAAGGGUUCGUAGGUGGCCAACUAAGUCAGACGUGAAAUCCCUCAGCUUAACUGGGGAACUGCGUCUGAUACUGGUUGGCUUGAGUGCAGGAGAGGAACGCGGAAUUCCAGGUGUAGCGGUGAAAUGCGUAGAUAUCUGGAGGAACACCGGUGGCGAAGGCGGCGUUCUGGACUGCAACUGACACUGAGAAACGAAAGCCAGGGUAGCAAACGGG